GUGACGGGGAUGGUGGAGGAGGAGACUUGUAAGAGUACGGUGGAGGGGGAGACUUUUUAGGUGGUGGAGGUGAGGCGUAGUGGUAUGGAGGAGGAGGGGAUUUCUUUGGAGGAGGUGGAGAUGUGUAUUGGUAUGGAGGUGGUGGUGACGGGGAUGGUGGAGGAGGAGACUUGUAAGAGUACGGUGCAGGGGGAGACUUUUUAGGUGGUGGAGGUGAGGCGUAGUGGUAUGGAGGAGGAGGGGAUUUCUUUGGAGGAGGUGGAGAUGUGUAUUGGUAUGGAGGUGGUGGUGACGGGGAUGGUGGAGGUGGAGACUUAUAAUAGUAAGGUGGAGGAGGGGAAUUCUUUGGAGGAGGUGGAGAUGUGUAUUGGUAUGGAGGUGGUGGUGACGGGGAUGGUGGAGGAGGAGACUUGUAAGAGUACGGUGGAGGGGGAGACUUUUUAGGUGGUGGAGGUGAGGUGUAGUGGUAUGGAGGAGGAGGGGAUUUCUUUGGAGGAGGUGGAGAUGUGUAUUGGUAUGGAGGUGGUGGUGACGGGUAUGGUGGAGGUGGAGACUUGUAAUAGUACGGUGAAGGGGGAGACUUUUUAGGUGGUGGAGGUGAGGUGUAGUGGUAUGGAGGAGGAGGGGAUUUCUUUGGAGGAGGUGGAGAUGUGUAUUGGUAUGGAGGUGGUGGUGACGGGGAUGGUGGAGGAGGAGACUUGUAAUAGUACGGUGGAGGGGGAGACUUUUUAGGUGGUGGAGGUGAGGCGUAGUGGUAUGGAGGAGGAGGAGAUUUCUUUGGAGGAGGUGGAGAUGUGUAGUGGUAUGGAGGUGGUGGUGAUAGGGAUGGUGGAGGAGGUGACUUGUAAUAGUGUGGUGGAUGAUGAGAUUUCUUUGGCGGGGGAGGUGAAGUGUAGUGGUGUGUAGGAGGGGGAGAUUUCUUUGGAGGAUGUGGAGAUGUGUAGUGGUAUGAAGGUGGUGGUGAUGAAGAUGGUGGAGGAGGAGACCUGUAAUUAUAAUAUGAUGGAUGAGGGGAUUUCUUUGGUGGGGGAGGUGAAGUGUGGUGGUAUGGAGGAGAGGGAUAUUUCUUUGGAGGAGGUGGAGAUGUGUAGUGGUAUGAAGGUGGUGGUGAUGAAGAUGGUGGAGGAGGAGACUUGUAAUAGUAUGGUGGAUGAGAGGAUUUCUUUGGUGGUGGAGGAGAUUUAUAGUGGUAUAGUGGAUGAGGGGAUUUCUUUGAUGGUGGAGGAGAUGUGUAAUGGUAUAGUGGUGGAGGAGAUUUCUUUGGAGGAGGUGGAGAUGUGUAGUGGUAUGAAGAUGGUGGAGGAGAAGACUUGUAAUUGUAUGGUGGAUGAGGGGAUUUCUUUGGUGGUGGAGGAGAUUUAUAGUGGUAUAGUGGAUGAGGGGAUUUCUUUGAUGGUGGAGGAGAUGUGUAAUGGUAUAGUGGUGGAGGAGAUUUCUUUGGAGGAGGUGGAGAUGUGUAGUGGUAUGAAGAUGGUGGAGGAGGAGACUUGUAAUAGUAUGAUGGAUGAGGGGAUUUCUUUGGUGGGGGAGGUGAAGUGUAGUGGUAUGGAGGAGGAGGAGAUUUCUUUGGAGGAGGUGGAGAUGUAUAGUGGUAUGGAGGUGGUGGUGAUGGAGAUGGUGGAGGAUGAGACUUGUAAUAGUAUGGUAGAUGAGGGGAUUUCUUUGGUGGUGGAGGAGAUUUGUAGUGGUAUAGUGGAUGAGGGGAUUUCUUUGGUGGUGGAGGAGAUGUGUAAUGAUAUGAUGGUGGAGGGGAUUUUUUUGGAGGAGGUGGAGAUGUGUAGAGAAUUGGGUGAAGGUGGUGAUGAAGAUGGAGGUGGUGGAGAUUUAUAAUAAUAUGGGGGAGAAGAUUUCAACAAAGGAGGAGAUGAUUUAUAGGAAUAAGGCUCAUAAGCCACCACACUGGUGGCUACAAGGCAAAUUGCUAUAGCAUGUAUCAUUAGGGACAAAUGCCCCGACUUCCCCCGUUUUCCCAUCCUUAGAACUCUUGCUUUGUGUUUGCAUGGUUAGCAUGGAUACUAGCCCUUUAUAUAGUGAUCCCUUCAAUCAUUGUUGACAAAGACAUGUUUUCCCAUGAUUAUUACAGCCUGGAUUAAAGCAUAAAAAUAUGUUCCAAAUCUGACUGAGCUGCAACCUCCUCGUUCUUAUUGUUUUUGUCUACUUGUUAUUAGUGGCUUCGCACUAAUUUUAUCAGUAAUGCAUAUAAUAAACCUAGAAAUUGUCAGCUUGAGAGCUGGUGAGAUAUGCCAUUUUCCGUGUAAGAACUGUAAACGCGUUUACGUACAGCAGAUUGGUCUGAAUGUUUUAGCCUUGUUACAAAAAUACGAUAAUAGAGGUGGCGAGGAGAAGUGAUCCGUGAGACAAAGAUCAUAAUUUCAAGGCAAACAUUUCCAUUUUACAAUAAAAAAUUGCUGCCUUCUAAUUUAGAUUUGUUAAAUUCUUGAGGUUUUACGAGGAAAGUAGCAAGUUACUUCAGUACCAUGAUCCAAGGAAGUUCUAAAUAACAAAUCUAUGUAUGAUCAAGUAGUAUAUCUCACAGUCGGUGAAUUUAAUAAACAAAAUGGAACAAUAAAUUAAAAUAUUCUUUAAAAUAUAAUCCCAACUAAUUUAUAAAGAUUUGUCAGCAAAUUCUAGUAGAGUGAAUCAUAUGUUGAUUUUAGUUAAUCCAUUCAUAAAUGACUUCAUCAAGCAACAGGACGCGAAAUUAUAUUAAUCUUGCUUCUUGUCCAAAUGAUUUUAAAUAAAAUUCUUGAAAUUAUAUUGAUCCAUUCUUCUAAAAAAGUUAAGGGAGUUGGUCAUUUCAUACGUAAUAAACCACUACACUUAGCAGCCCAUGUUGUGUUUGUCGAUUAGGGGGUCAAAAGAGAUUUGCUCAUACUCCAUAUAUAAUGUUGUUCGUACAUGUAUAACUAUAUACUAUUGUCAUUGGCAUAAUCAAUUUUCUUUUCUUCUUCUUUAUUUUAUUUUUUAAUAAACACAACAUGGAUAUUUACAAUUUGUUUGAAACUAAUUGUACCAGAUCACGUUAGCAUUUAGAUUGAUAGGGCUUAAUCACUUCCAUUUUUUUAGAAGAGGCCUUGUUUAACAUUCGAUGAAAAUUAGAAACUUUUUUCAUUUUUAGUUUGAUUUAUCAGUAGCAUAGUUUUAAAACUCGAUCUAAAAAUUAAUUUGAAGACCUGUUUUUUUUUAAGGAUCAAAAUAAUAUUAUUUUGAAUAAUUUUUUUUUAUAAAAAAACUAAUUGUUUUUUGUCAUAGUUUUAUUAGAUCGACAAGGUGGUAGGGCAAUCCAAGUUCUUAAUGGUUUAUUAUAAAAUACAAAUCAAGGCUAAUAUAAUUUAAUGUUGACAUUAUACAAUGAACAAUUGAGAAUCCUUUGUUGUGCAGGGGUGAUGGUGGUGAUGAUGUAUAUUUACUUUGCAUAUUAAAAGAUAAAAAAUUCAUUAUCAUCAAAAUAAUCUGUAAUUAAAUCUGUGGAAAAAAAGUGCUACCUUCAUAUAUAAUCCUCCUUCACUUUCUUAUUUCUAUUGAACAAUUAAAAGAAUAUACAAACAUAUCUGUCAUAUCUAGCUCUGUUCAGCCUGUAAACCUUUAAUUCAAUUCAAAUUAAUUAUUUUUAUUCAAACAAUAUAUAUUAUUAUUUGUUAAAAAUAAUUAAUUUUAAUUGAAUUAAAGGUUCAUUUUCUAUUGCACAAUUAAAGAAAUAUACAAACACAUCUGUCAUAUCCGGCUCUGUUCAGCCCGUAAACCUUUAAUUCAAUUCAAAUUAAUUAUUUUUAUUCAAACAAUAUAUAUUUUAAUUCUUUUAAUUAGUGUUGGUUUGAUUAACUUAGCUGGUCAACUAAAUUACAUGUCAACUUGAAUGAAUUGACUAAGUCUUAUCAUAUUAAUAAUUUUUUUUGUUUAAAUUUAAAACUUGAGCUGAGUUAAGUUUUAGAUCAUGUGGAGGUUUCUUAGAUUAAUCUAUCUGACCGAGUUUAAACUAUGCAAUGCAUGUGUGUGUAUCUACAUAUAUUAUAUUAGUUUGUAGAUAAUAAUGGAAAGAAAAAUCAACUCUUAUUUGCAAAAUUGAAUUGAAUUGAGCGAUUCUUGCGACUUCACGAUGACCUGAUCAUUUAUGUAAAGUGCCUCUGUCAGCUUAGUACGCAGUGUAACAUGCAUGCACGACUUUUACCAGUUAAAACUUGGAUUAUACACUUUGUUAAUUUAAUUUAUGCAUGCCAGGCUGAAUGUUUCUAGCUAGAAACUCUCAAGCAAUAGUGCAUGCCAUUGCCAUGAAAUGUUCCAUUUUAUUGAGAUAUUCUAUCAUCAACCAAAAGAUAUAAACAAUCCAUUAAUUUGGAUAUAGUUAUCUCGUAUUUAUUUCUUAUGAAUGAUGCAGCAAUAAACUUAAGGUUAAACGAGCCAAAAUUAUUUUGAAUUUUAAAAGAAAUAACUUAACAUUUUUUUAAAAAAAACAAAUCACUGUCACCAUUCACAAUAAUUUAUUUUUUGAUGAACAGGGAAAUAGUAUUUUCCCGUAGCUUUUAGAAUAUUACUUAAUUGUUAAAAGGAAAACAACACAACAUGCAUGCAUUCAUUCUUGUCAACUAAUCCAGUGGUAUAUGGGAAAAGAAGAAGAAGAAGCAGCUAGGUCAACAAUAAAAAGUUGAACAAUCAAUGAGUAUAAUGCAAGAGUAUACACAAGAUUGCUGCAUAAAGUACUCACGAAGGAUUGCUGCUGAAUUUGAUGCUGGAAACACGCAAGGAAAGGUCUUGAAGAGUUGGCUUGACAUGGAGCUACUAGCUAGCUAUUUUUUCUAUAAAAUCUUUGUGAUUUUGUUUAUUUUUAUUUUAUAACUGUUGUGGCUGUACGUAUAUCUUUUGUAUUUUAUACCUUCCGUUACAGGACACCAAGUUUUUAUGGUUUUAUAUUAGUUGAAGUCGAAGAGGGAGUUGUCAAUUCUCCUUUAGAUAAUAACUAGCUUAAUUGCAGGCGUUACUCUCCGAGUUUCUAUUUUAAUUAGUCAAUUAAUGUGUUAUUUAAUUUUAAGAUUUUGCAUUUUUGCAUAUAUAUAUUUAUAUAAGCAGUCUAUUUGAUUUACGUAAAGAGCUUAUUAGAUACAUGAAAGACAAAUUAUUUUCAUGAUAAAAUAGAGAAUAAUGCAUCAUUGACGUCAUAGAAACACAAUUGCUCGAGGUAAUUAAACCGCUUCAAAAAGUUUCUCAACUUUGUUUAUGUAUUUUUUAUAUUAGCAUGAUUUUUUAAAAAACAAAACUUAUCAUGACUUGAAAAGUAGUUGAAAUAAAAAAAAACAUACGUUUUAAUAAUUUUUAUGCUAAUGCAAGCAAAAAUAAAAGAAUAAUUAAUUUGAAAAAGUUACAUAAAAUCUUCACGAAAUAAGUAUUUAUUCUCAUUGAAUAUCUAUGAGAAAUUUUUUUUAAAAUAAUACAUAUUUGUUUUAUAUAUAAUUAUUCAUAAAGUAACUACUAAUAUUAUCAUUAAAAAUUAAAAAUAUCAAUUAAUAUCAUUAAAAUCUUUAAUUUUAUUUGAAAAAUAUAGUGUCAUUGUAUUAUUUUUAAAACAUCAUUGUAAUUUUUUUAUUUAAAAAAUAUUUUAAAAUAUUAAAAACUUAAAGGCCAAAUGUAUGGGCAUGGGAAAGGGCUAUUCCAUGUCCAUACAUUCCCAUGCCCAUACAUUUGGCCUAAAAAGCAGAAAGCUCAGCCCCUAUUUUUUUUUUAAAAAAAAUUCAAGUGGAGAACAUGUUGUUCACUUGAGUUUUUUUUUUUAAAUGUAUGGAUGGCUUGAAUAGUCGGGCUACAUGAUGAUGUUUCUUUAAUGAUAAAUUCCAACCACAAAAUUAGAGUUCAGAGUAAUUUGGAUCUCAAAAUCCAAAUUUGCGCGCAUAUAGAUAAUAAUGUCCUACAAACAUUAAUAAUAUAAUUUCAAGCUUUAAAACCUUAUUUAAUUAUACUUGAGACUCAAAAUCAAACUGAAUCUAAAAAUAAUUUACAAGUUUUAAUAUAUUUUCUUUAAGAUAAUUAAAUGCUAAAAUCACCAAUAUUAAACUUCAUUCUUCGUUUUGAUAUAUUUUCUUUAAUAUAAUUGAAUGCUCAAACCACUAAUAUUGAACUUCAUUUUUUAAGAUAACUUAUUGACAGUGUUUUUAAAUCCAGCCUGGUUGACCUAGCUUAAGGUCCGGGUCACGGGUUUUGACCGGGCCAACCUUAAUUUUUUUAUAAAUCAAAACAAUAUCAUUUUUAUUAAAAUAAAUAAAUAGUUAAUGAGUUACAACUAGAUUUUGACUGGGUCACCGGGUCAACCCACCAGGUUAACCAGGUUAGUCGGGUUUUUGAUUUUCUUUAUUUUUUCAUAAACUCAGCCUGGUUUUGGUCAACAGGGUCAGUCGGAUCUCGGGUUGACCUACCAGGCUGGGUCGAGUUUUAAAACUAUAUUUAUUGGUAUGGAUAAUAUGUUUUUUUUUUAAUUGCUGAAUGAAAUGUUUUUCUUUCCUUUCUUUUCCAGAGAUUCUUUUCUUUCUUACAUCAAAAUUCAAGCAGUGAAACGUAAAAAAAAUAAACUUUUAGGACCGAAGUAUCAAAAUCGAGCAUUUAUCCUAGAAAUCCGUGAAAGAUGAGGAAAGCUGUAGUAAAUGCUAUAGAGUUUUCCAUUUCCUGUUUUAGUUUAUACAGUAAUUGUAAUUGUAAUGUAUGCAAUCACCCUAAAUGAUCUUUUGGUUGUAUAGGAAAAUAUAUAAAUUGCCAGUUUUUCAGCUACAGUGCUGUACUUAAUUGAAUUAAUUAAGGCUAAAAUGUGUACAAUAUCCUACAAAUAUAUUAAAAUAUUACAAAUAUAUUAAAAUGUGAUUGCAGUUAUUUUUUAAAGUUAUAUAAUUUUUAUUUUUUAAAAAUUAUUUUUGAUAUCAGCACAUCAAAAUAAUCUAAAAACACCAAAAUAAUAUUAAUUUAAAAAAAAAAAAAAUUAAAAAUAUUUUUGAAAUGCAAAAACAAACAGAAAUAUAGCUUUCCAUACAAUGAUGUUUUAGAUAUGUCAAUGAGUAUUUAGCUCAAUCAACUAGCUAUAUAGUUAUUUAAAUAUAGCUGUUAAAUCAAACUUUAUGAUAUAUUUGAAAAUGAUUUCAAUUCGAUAAGUAAAUAGGAUUCAAUUGAGUUAUAAUUAAAUUCAAGUGACUGGAACAAAUAAUAAAAAAAUUCUCUACUGCACCUCAUCUAAUUUAUAUUCUUCUCACAUGUUCUUGAAUCUUAAAAAUCAUAAUAAAUGGAGAGGGAAAGAAAAGUUUGCUUUCACUGCAACUUCUUCAACAAUAUCCAAAUUCAUUUGAAACCUAAUUAGAAAAAGGAAACCCAAUUUUUUUUAUUAGUUCUGUUUGGUUUGUAAAAUACCUAUUUCUUUGUUUAUUUCUCUCUCUAUAGCCAUUUUUUUUACUGGCUGAUCAGAGAUCGUCUUUAAAAAAAAAACAAGGAAACCCAAUUUCUCCAAAAUCAAAAAUUCAAGUUACUAGUUUAUAGUUAAAGAGAGACCUAAAAUUAGAGAUUUGUAACAUAAUUUUUUCAAAACAAAAUUCUUCAACCAUUAUUAUGAUAAAAGAAGUAGUUUUAAACCUGUUAGAUUAAUUAAUUGAAUUAAGUUUUAAUACCAAAUUGUGGCUUCUCAACAUUGGGUUGUGGAGAACCAACCGACCGAGUUACUGGUUUGGCAACAGCAGACCCUAGUGAAAUAGCAGUAGAACCAGUAGCGACAAACCUGGAAAUUUGCGGACCUGAAGGAGGAGAACUUAUAACUAGAGAAUGAUCAUUAGAUAAACAAACAUAUGGUGACAUAAGGGCAGGGCUGAUAGGUUGUUAUAUGGUGGUAGAAAUAGUAGGUAGUGUGAGGAGUGGAGAGGUUGAAGGUGAACUAAGCAAAUUUGGCAAGUGGGUAGUAAAGAUAGGAUGCAAAGAUGUGUUGUAGGGUUAUGCCAUUUAUUCAGGUUUGUUAAAAAAAACACAUCUUCAUGAAAAGGGAUAUGACAUGAGAUAUAAAUAUGUUGAAAUGCUAGAUUAAGACAACGAUAACUAAGGUGAGAGGAGCUAUAAGCUAAGAACACAAAUGGAGAGGAAUGAAAAUCUAAUUUAUGAGCAUGAUAUGGACACAUGCAGAAAUGAAAAGCAAAGGCAUCUAAAAAUACAUAGAAAAUUAUAAUCAGGAAUAUGAUUAAAAAGACACUCAAACAAGGAUUUAUUUUGGAGGAUAAAAGUAGGCAUACAAUUGAUAAGAUACACUGCGGAUUCAAACGCAUAAUUCCAAAACCAUAAUGGAGAUUUACACUAUCCGAGGAGAGUAAGAUCAGUUACGACAAUAUGCCAAUGCCGGCGUUCAACAAUGCCAUUUUACACUAUCUGAUGAUGAAUACUGAUAGUUUGAAAGAAAGUGUUUAACUUGUGGUAUUCACCACCCUAAUCAGUUUGAACAAUUUUAAUUUUUCAUGAAAAUUGACGCUUAACAAAAACUUGAAAAAGAUAGAAAGUAGAAAAUAUAUCAGAUUUCACAAUAAAAGGAUAAUACCAUAUAUAUUUCAUAUAUGCAUUGACAUAUGUUAUAACCUAAUUUUGACCCAUUUGCUUUUUAAUCUAAUUUUAAGGGGGUUAAAAUUUGAAAUUAAAAUAUCAGGGGCUUGAAUGCAAAAUUUUGAAACUUUAAGGACGAAAUUGAGAAAUGGUCACCUUAGUCAGAAACAACUCUAUUUUGUCAUUUCCAUUCUUCUUCUUCCUCUGAAAACAGAGGAGACCACCUGCGGAGGAAAUACAGAACGCCACCCAGACAGGAAGCUCACACUACCAGACACAUUGCAAUGCCCACGACUUCCAUCACCAGCUUCUCAGUUCAUUUCCAUGUCCUUCGCCGCCAUAACAAGCCAUUGAGGCAUGGAGGAAACCACCACCAGUAGUCCAACAAUGGUAGGACAGUUGGCGUCCCAAUCCAACCAAAACAAGGAGUCUCAAAUUCUAUCUCUACAUGAAGAUCAGCGCUCGGGGAAGAUAAGGAUUAGCCUUGCGCGAGAAAAGCCUAUAAAAGACAGAGAGGACCAGGAGAGAAGAGGGGGGAAAGAAAACAAAGGGAACAGGGGCUUUCUCCUAGAGAGAAGAAAAAAACAGAAAACAGAGGAAAAAAAGAGAGUACAUAGGAGGAGAAAAAUCCAGACGAAAAAAAUACUGCAGGGGACAAAACACAGGAGAGAAAACGAGAGAGAGAGAGAGAGAGAGAGAGAGAGAGAGAGAGAGAGAGAGAGAGAGAGAGAGAGAGAGAGAGAGAGAACCAAAAGGGGCAGAAAGACAAGAGAAAACAAAUAGAGGGGAAGAUACCGAAGACAGAAGGAGAACUCCAGCAACGAGUAUCCACACCAUUCUUCGCGCAAAACUCCAGCAACAGGUAAGCUUUCAUUGUUUUCCCUCUCUUGCAGUUUAAUUACAUAGAUACUGUGCCAGACGUGCAUGGACAAUUCACGUAUGCCUGCAGAUGACUUAGCCGGGUUACUAGUUGAACCAGUAACCAACCGAGGCGGGUUGGCUGGAUCCGGGCCCAGUAAAAAAAAGAAAAGAGGAAGAAGAGUAGGUCAGAUCUAGGCCUUGGGCCCAGCCAGCCCAGUCCAUAUUUUCUAAGGGUGUGUUUGGCCAAACACACCCUUACGCCUUGACCCUAAUUUUUAUGUCCAUUCUAGUUUGAUAUUUGGCUAAAUAAGCCCGCUUUUUAUAUCAAAAAAUUUCAAAAAUAUUUGGCGAUCUUCGUUGAUUUAUUUGUGGGCCCCUCACACUUUGCCUUAUUUUUUUCUUUGUGUUUUGUAUUUUUUCUCCUAUGUGCUCAAUUUGUGGACCAAACUCUAUUAAAUGUAAAAUUCAUUGUGCAACGUUUCUUUUAUUUCAGUCUAAAAAGGGUAAAAUAAAAAAUAUAAUAAAGGGUAAGCAAAAAGAAAAUGGCGUAGAAAAAUUCUUCUUUAAAUUCAAUUUUUUACGAAAUUAUUCACUUACGUCAGUGUCAGGCAUAUCGUAUUUUUUUAGGUUUGUGCAAUAUUUAUCAACACUAGAGUUGAAAAUAUUUAUAGGAAUUAUUCACUAACGUCAGAGUUGGGAACAUGAUAGGAAGAACAAAAAAAAAAAGGAGAACAAAUUCUUAGCAAUUUUAGCCAAAAAAGAAUGCAGUCUGCCUCAGGUAGGAUGCUUAAGGGGUGAUAGUAUCUUUCCUUUCACGUAACUAGUCCCGUACCAUAGAAUCUCUGUUGACCAGUUAGGGUUCCUAGUGACCGUAAUAUUAGGUGGCGACUCCUUGAACUAAUACCUUUCCCCUUAAAGAACAAGAUGUCGUAUAUCUGUUCCUUUUCCAAUCAAUAAUAUUUUUAAUCGGCCGUUACGAUGUUUGAGUGUGACAACAGAAAUUAAAAAAAAAGUAAUGAAAACCAUCAGAGAAAAAAAUAGGAGCAGGGCCCUAGACAUCACUAAAUAUUAAAUCAAGUGGAGCAGUAGUUUUGUGACCCGUAGGUCUUAAUGACAGAUGUAACGGUGUACCUAGCGGACAAGCUUCACAUUGAAAAAGUGAACAUUUAGAGGUAAAAACAAGAUUAUUAUUGGAAACUAAAAAAAUUAAAAACACAUGAAGUAAGAUAUUCUAAUUGACGAUGCCAAAUAUCAAUAAAAGUAGAGACGCAAGGAGACCAAUAAGCUUGAGGAAUGGACGUGGCAGAAGACUCGGACAAAACAUAGAGACUAUCAUUACUCUAACUAAAAAGGAGCAUUGCUUUAGUGGUGAGAUCCUUAACAUAAAACACAACCACGUGAAAUUCACAAUAGAUAUUAUUAUCACGAUAAAAUUUUAGAACAGAAAGUAAUGGCUUUGUAAUAUGAGGUAUAUGAAGAGCAUUAGAUAAUGUAAAAAUGCGUUGUGGAGUAUGUAACGUAGUAUGCCUAAUAUUAGAUAUGGAAAGGCCUUUACUAUCACCAACAUGCAAAUGAUUAUUACCAAGAUAGGGUUCAGACCUGGUUAGAGUCGCAAGAUUAGGUUUAAUGUAUUAAGGCUUUGAUACCAAGUUAAGAAGAAUAAGAUGCUUAAUUUAUUAGUUAACCAACCUUUUCUAUUUAUAUAUAUAGGGCAGUGUACAUUAGUUAAUGUAGAUAUUACAACACAAGAUUAAGCUUAUUAAUAUUUCCUAAAUAUAUACAUCCUAUAUCUUGUAAUUUCCUAAAAUAAGGAUAAUGAGUGUUCUUUUAGAUAAAAAAAAUGAUGUGAUAUGAAAAUAAUGUUAAAAUUGAAAAAUAUGAGAUGAAUUAUCUACUUUUUAUUUUUUUUUAUUAAUAAAAGCAUAAAUACAAUUCAACAACAUUGGACGUGGCUUACUAAGAUGCAUGCAUGCAUGCCUAAUGAGAUCAUAAUUUAGAGAAAUUAAAAAGUGGGACAUGAAUAUAUUAUCUUCAAAUAUUUUAUUCUGGCUACUCUUUUAAACAUUCCAAUGAUUAUGACUUGCAAGUUUUAUAUAUUUAGAGGUCUAAUUGGGUUUGUGACUAGGGCUUUGACUUGCCUAGCUCAUGCAAGGAGAAAGUUGGCGUGCAUUUCCUUGUAAUCAAACAAAUAAGAGAAUCUAAUUCAAGCAGAAAGCAAGAUGAACUCAUAAAGACAUAACAAAUAUAUAAUUCUCUUUGGAAUUGUAAUUACUACCAUUACAAUUACAUUACAUUGUAACAAGAUGAAACAAAAACAAUGAUUUUACCAUGGACCUUCACUCUAUCAAGAUCCUUAUUGUACAAAAAAAAAAAUUACAUUCAUUCAAGAUCCUUGUCUUCAUUUUGAAAAUUUGUUUGUAAAUGAUAUAGAGAAAAGUACGUUAUUGUUGCGUGUAUAUGUAUCUCAAGUUGAUUCAAUUGAAGCUUAAUAGUAUGGAGGAGGUGGGGAAUGAGUUGGAGGUGGUGGAGACUUAUAAUAGUAGGGAGGGGGAGGUGAGGGAGAUGGUGGAGGUGGAGACUUGUAGAUGUAUAGAGGAGGGGGAGACUUCUUUGGAGG
rnacentral:lncRNA from 1 species